rnacentral:tRNA from 1 species
GCCGAGGUAGUCCAGCCCGGUAAGGCGCGAGCCUGGAAAGCUCGUGGGGACCUCCCCUCGGGAGUUCGAAUCUCCCCCUCGGCGCCA